CGAGUAGGUCGUCGUCUUGCUGGUCCAAGAUAAUUCAAUUGCUCUUGUAUUUGCUUCUAAAGAGACUGCAAUGUGGGGCUUCUAAAGAGACUGCAAUUAGGAAGUUUAGGCACUGUAAUGUCUUCUACUGUCAUCUAAAGAAACGACAGAGGAUAAAGAUGUAUCUUUCAUCCUUCGAUUGGGUGCUUGAGGUGGAAUUACAUAUGAAACCAGUGCACGGUCGAUGAGGAAAUACUUACAGAAAGAAUAUUCU
rnacentral:lncRNA from 1 species